AGUUUUGGUUUACUUAAUGAACAUGGCCAAAAGUAUGGAACGCUUCACGAUUUUGCGUGUCAUCCUUGCGCUACGCGGGCCCUUUUCUUCGCUGUAAUUUGAAACAUUUGAAACAUUUGGAUGCCAUUGGAACAAUUGGAACAAAAUUUGAAACAAUUGAAACAAUUGGAACGCUAAUGUGAAAGGAGGCCGCAAGGAGGAUGGCUGCCAAAACAGUUUUUCGCAAAUUUCACGCUCACGCGUACAUUUUAGGAGCAUAGUUCCGUCAUCAGAACGUUUUUUUUUUCAGAAUUCCCUAUCAUUUGGUGCCCGUUAGGUCACAUUUCUUCGCGUUUUUACCGAGAUUGAGCUCGAAACUGCAGGCUUCAUGGGCCCUUACCCACUAUAAGCCCAACAUGGAGCAGACGGCUUUACCGGUGCAGUACACUGUCAACACAGUUACUGGGCUAGCAGCAAAAAGCCGGGGCUUCUCGUUUUUUGUUUUUAAUUUAACUCGCGCCGUUUUACGUUUUAAUCCCAACGAAAGGAAUGCUAAAAGAAAGUUGGGCAAGAAGGCAAGAAAGAAUUCAUUACUACAGGUCUCAUGUCGGUCUCGUUCGCAUUUCCUCAGUACUUCAACAACCCCUUGAUGGGCAACGGGAGAUGACUUCAUGGAAUCAAAACACAACCCAUUUAAGAAAUGUCAAAUCACUUUCUUGAUUAACUCUACGACUCCAGUGUUUGUCAAGCACUGGAGUUGGGUCAAGGCAACAUGGGAGAAAAACACAUGAAUAAGACACUAUUCUCUCGACAAGUGGUUGGAAAUGAAAAAAGGUUGAAAUACAUCAAGCAUGAAGCAACCAUGCAAUAAAUCAAGAUGUUGAGCAGCUGGCAGUCACUUUGGUAAUUGAGCCUGUUUCUUCCUCUGCU